UGGGAGUAUCUUAUGAUCAGUUAUUUAUAGAGAGCUAUUCAUGGACACAGACUCUACGGAGAUCGUUUUCAGUCCUGAAAAUAUCGCUUUCAACUUAAUCGCUUCAACGUGUGAAGCUUUCUCUCUUUCAGAAGAGCAAGACCUUGCAGUCACAUGUUGCUGGAUCAGGUAAAUGAUGCAAGCUUGCUGUGAAUUGCUGCUGCUCAACUUUAAGAUGUUUCUAGAAUUAUUGCAAAACUUCUAAGAGCUGUGUUGACAACUUCCUCCAUUUUGCUGUGCUUAUUCAUUUUGCUCAUUUAUUUAGCCUCCCUUUUAUUGUAUUGUAUUUUAUUUUAUUAUUUUGUUCUGUGUUUUUGGCUUUGUUUGUUACUAUUUGUUUAUUUGUUUUCAGGCCAGCUCUCUUGAAAAACAGAAGUAGAAGUUUUGAUGAGGUGAAAUGAUGAAAGGCUUGAAUCUAAUAGAACUCCUUUGAUUUUAAUCUAUAAUGAUGAGUAGCUGAAUCUGCAAAAGAAUUGUAUGUCAGAUUAUCUAUAAAAUGUUUGCAUCUAUACGUAGAUGUACACGUAUGCAUUAACAAGGAACAAACAAUUGUGGUGUAUCUGUUCCAGAUGGCUGUAGAUGAUGUAUAUGAGGUUGUAAAUUUGGUCUUUUUUCAAGCAAAGAAUUUGAUUCUGUUUCAAUUGGAAGAUAAAUUUAGCACAUAAUGUUGGAACGUACUGUUAGCACUAACCUACAGUAUUGUUCUUUACUGCAGGAUAUGGCUCUACUGAUAAGUUUGUUGAAACAGGUUGAGAAAACAUGUUACCAAAAAUGUUUGUGUCCUUCACCUACUGUUCACCACCUGCCCCUGUGAAUGAACCAAAGAAACAUCCCAAAUUUUGUUUCAAAUCUGUUUUCCUCCUGAGGAAAGAUCAGAGCAGGACUGUGAUGUUUGAGUGUUUAGAAGAUUUAAGAGGGAUGGGCUAUUUAAACUACUCAAAAUUAUGUUUUACUUAAUUUUUCUGCUUUCCAGUAAGUAAUACCAGAAAAAGUAACUAUUCUGUAUGUUCAUUCUGUAGAAUAGAGAUAAAAGCUAGCACGUGCUAUUGUACUAGAAACCUUUAUUAUGUUUUAAGCAAAACGGUUCUCUCUGCAGUCGUCCAAACUAAAUACUUGGCAGAAGGCUGGAGCUUGAGUUGGAGAAGUUCUGAUUAAGUUAUUUUAGGCUGUGCUUUGUUUCUCUUGAUACUUAACCAGUGAUUGCUAUUUCUAUUACUCCAGACAUAACCUGAAGAUUUAACAUCUGCAUCCAAUUAAAAAGCAGUGCUUCCCUACAAAAAGGUGAUCCUGGUUGUGCCGACUGGCUAUGUAUAAUUCUGCAUACGUACUUGAUGAUCAUUCCGAUGAUGAAAUCCCCACCCAGCAAGCUAUUCAAGAAAGCUUACAAGACAUUCAUAAAAUGGAAAGAAGUGCCAACGCAAUAGAGGAUGAAAGUUUCCUGUGCGUUGGAAGUAAAGAACGUGAAGAGAUAAUUGCAGCAAUUCGGACAGUUAAGUACAAAUGCAUUACACUACACCCCUCUGUAUCUAGCUAUCACAAUGCCUACGUUCUGUGUUUGAUCAGCUAUUUUAAGUGCAGUUUUUCCUUAUGUAGUCUUGGAGAGAGUUAGGCAACUGAAAGCAGGAUGCACAAAAGCUAGCUUUUAUUAAAUAGGAACACAGUAAUGG
rnacentral:lncRNA from 1 species